UACGAAGGGGGCUAGCGUUGCUCGGAAUCACUGGGCGUAAAGGGUGCGUAGGCGGGUCUUUAAGUCAGGGGUGAAAUCCUGGAGCUCAACUCCAGAACUGCCUUUGAUACUGAGGAUCUUGAGUUCGGGAGAGGUGAGCGGAACUGCGAGUGUAGAGGUGAAAUUCGUAGAUAUUCGCAAGAACACCAGUGGCGAAGGCGGCUCACUGGCCCGAUACUGACGCUGAGGCACGAAAGCGUGGGGAGCAAACAGG
rnacentral:rRNA from 1 species